CAAUAGCGUAUAUUAAAGUUGUUGCAGUUAAAAAGCUCGUAGUUGGAUUUGUGUGUUUUGAUUGUGGUCUGAAAAUUUCAGCACUGCGUUUCAAAGUACAUUAUUUGUAGCUCGGCGGUCUGGCAUUAAGUUGUUGGGUCGUGCAGACUACAUCGUUUACUGUGAAAAAAUUAGAGUGUUUAAAGCAGGCGUUUGUUUUUGAAUACAUUAGCAUGGAAUAAUAAGAUAUGACUCGAAUGGUCUAUUUUGUUGGUUGCGAACCGAGGUAAUGAUUAAUAGGGAUAGUUGGGGGUAUUCAUAUUUAAUUGUCAGAGGUGAAAUUCUUGGAUUUAUGAAAGGUGAACAACUGCGAAAGCAUUUACCAAGGAUGUUUUCAUUA
rnacentral:rRNA from 1 species